CCAAUAGCGUAUAUUAAAGUUGCUGCAGUUAAAAAGCUCGUAGUUGAAUUUCGGGACCAAUAUGUCGGUCGUGCCUCGGUACGUACUGGCGUUAUUGGUUUCUCCCUUCUGAAGAACCUUGAUGUCAUUAAUUUGGUGUCUUGGGGAAUCAGGACUGUUACUUUGAAAAAAUUAGAGUGUUUAAAGCAGGCUCGCGCUUGAAUACAUUAGCAUGGAAUAAUGAAAUAGGACGUUUGAUUCUAUUUUGUUGGUUUCUAGGAUCGACGUAAUGAUUAAUAGGGAUAGUUGGGGGCAUUAGUAUUCAAUUGUCAGAGGUGAAAUUCCUGGAUUUAUUGAAGACUAACUACUGCGAAAGCAUUUGCCAAGGAUGUUUUCAUUAAUCAAGAACGAAAGUUAGGGGAUCGAAGACGAUCAGAUACCGUCGUAGUCUUAACCAUAAACUAUGCCGACUAGGGAUCGGAUGAUGUUAAUUUUUUAAUGACUCAUUCGGCGCCUUACG
rnacentral:rRNA from 1 species